AUACGGAGGAUCCGAGCGUUAUCCGGAUUUAUUGGGUUUAAAGGGAGCGUAGGUGGACAGUUAAGUCAGUUGUGAAAGUUUGCGGCUCAACCGUAAAAUUGCAGUUGAUACUGGCUGUCUUGAGUACAGUAGAGGAGGGCGGAAUUCGUGGGGUAGAGGUGAAAUGCUUAGAUAUCCCGAAGAACUCCGAUUGCGAAGGCAGCUCACUGGACUGCAACUGACACUGAUGCUCGAAAGUGUGGGUAUCAAACAGGAUUAGAUACCCUGGUAGUCCACACAGUAAACGAUGAAUACUCGCUGUUUGCGAUAUACAGUAAGCGGCCAAGCGAAAGCAUUAAGUAUUCCACCUGGGGAGUACGCCGGCAACGGUGAAACUCAAAUGAAUUGACGGGG
rnacentral:rRNA from 1 species